rnacentral:rRNA from 1 species
UACGGAGGGAGCUAGCGUUGUUCGGAUUUAUUGGGUUUAAAGGGUGCGUAGGCGGCCUAUUAAGUCAGGGGUGAAAGACGGUGGCUCAACCAUCGCAGUGCCUUUGAUACUGAUGGGCUUGAUUACACUUGAGGUAGGCGGAAUGUGACAAGUAGCGGUGAAAUGCAUAGAUAUGUCACAGAACACCAAUUGCGAAGGCAGCUUACUAAAGUGUAAAUGACGCUGAGGCACGAAAGCGUGGGGAUCAAACAGG